UACGUAGGGUGCUAGCGUUGUCCGGAUUUAUUGGGCGUAAAGGGCUCGUAGGCGGUCAGGUAGGUCAGCUGUGAAAACUCGAGGCUCAACCUCGAGACGCCGGUUGAAACCAUCUGACUAGAGUCCGGAAGAGGAGAGUGGAAUUCCUGGUGUAGCGGUGAAAUGCGCAGAUAUCAGGAAGAACACCCGUGGCUAAGGCGGCUCUCUAGUACGGUACUGACGCUGAGACGCGAAAGCGUGGGGAGCGAACAGG
rnacentral:rRNA from 1 species